rnacentral:rRNA from 1 species
CGGUGUUCAACUGGCGUGUCCGCGGGACGUCCUGCCGGUGGGCUUAGCCCGCAAGGGCGGCCCAACUUCAAAUCCCAUCGCGGUGCUCUUCACUGAGUGUCGAGGUGGGCCGGCACGUUUACUUUGAACAAAUUAGAGUGCUUAAAGCAGGCUAAAACUUCGCCUGAAUACUGUGUGCAUGGAAUAAUGGAAUAGGACCUCGGUUCUAUUUUGUUGGUUUUCGGAACCCCGAGGUAAUGAUUAAUAGGAACGGAUGGGGGCAUUCGUAUUGCGACGUUAGAGGUGAAAUUCUUGGAUCGUCGCAAGACGGACAGAAGCGAAAGCAUUUGCCAAAAACGCUUUCAUUGAUCAAGAACGAAAGUUAGAGGUUCGAAGGCGAUCAGAUACCGCCCUAGUUCUAACCAUAAACGAUGCCAGCUAGCGAUCCGUCGACGUUCCUCCGACGACUCGACGGGCAGCUUCCGGGAAACCAAAGCUUUUGGGUUCCGGGGGAAGUAUGGUUGCAAAGCUGAAACUUAAAGGAAUUGACGGAAGGGCACCACCAGGAGUGGAGCCUGCGGCUUAAUUUGACUCAACACGGGAAACCUCACCAGGCCCGGACACCGGAAGGAUUGACAGAUUGAGAGCUCUUUCUUGAUUCGGUGGGUGGUGGUGCAUGGCCGUUCUUAGUUGGUGGAGCGAUUUGUCUGGUUAAUUCCGAUAACGAACGAGACUCUAGCCUGCUAACUAGGCGUAUUUUCGACAUCUCAAAGGUCCGUCGUCCCGGCCCUCGGGUCGUGGGCGUGCGCGAUUUUUACUGUCGGCGUACUAUCAAUUCUUCUUAGAGGGACAGGUGGCUUCUAGCCGCACGAGAUUGAGCAAUAACAGGUCUGUGAUG